rnacentral:rRNA from 1 species
CUAAUACCGUAUACGCCCUACGGGGGAAAAAUUUAUUGCUAUUAGAUGAGCCUAUAUUAGAUUAGCUAGUUGGUGGAGUAAUAGCCUACCAAGGCAAUGAUCUAUAGCUGAUCUGAGAGGAUGAUCAGCCACACUGGAACUGAGAUACGGUCCAGACUCCUACGGGAGGCAGCAGUGGGGAAUAUUGGACAAUGGGCGAAAGCCUGAUCCAGCCAUGCCGCAUGAGUGAAGAAGGCCUUUGGGUUGUAAAGCUCUUUUAGUGAGGAAGAUAAUGACGGUACUCACAGAAGAAGUCCUGGCUAACUCCGUGCCAGCAGCCGCGGUAAUACGGAGAGGGCUAGCGUUAUUCGGAAUUAUUGGGCGUAAAGGGCGCGUAGGCUGGUUAAUAAGUUAAAAGUGAAAUCCCRAGGCUUAACCUUGGAAUUGCUUUUAAAACUAUUAAUCUAGAGAUUGAAAGAGGAUAGAGGAAUUCCUGAUGUAGAG